AUUUUGAAGGCCUGUGGUUAAUCCGGGUCCGUCCUUAGUGUAGCGACGACCCGCUAAAUCUCGGCGAGAAGACGCUCCACCUCCGCUUGCGCCGCCAUGGAUCCUCCUAGGCUUAUCCCUUCCCUCAGGCCUUCCACCCUUCUCAUCCGACGGCUCCAGGAGGGGCACCACAGUAGCAGGCACCGGCGGCGGCACGCCACACACACGCGCCCGAACCCAACUAGCCUCCGUCGGCCGCGGCAGCCAGGCCGUGCCUCUCCUUCCACCGGUCGCGAGAUCCGCCGAUAUCAACUCCGUCCUCCAGCACUGGGUGCCCAGGAUCAACAUGCCUCCUCCCUAUCAGAAGUCACAAAAAAAGAGAUCACGAUGAUGGUGGCAAUGGGUGCCUACUUCCUCCGAUGAUGUCCCAAUCACCUGGGUGGAUAAUCGCACAUUCAGUAUCAGUUCCAUUCUCUACAAGUAGGUCUGUGUCUCUUCCCCUUUUGUGCAUCCCCUGAUUUUUUAUUGAUUCGCCUACUUGAUCCGGUCUCGUGUCGGUGUAAGGGGAGAUGAGAGGAUGAGCACCAGAGGAUCACAGGAUUGGAGGACAGAGUCAAACUGGGAGAAAGCAGAGACUUGAAAUCUAUUCUUCCUCGAGGAACAACACCCCUUGCAGAACCUGGACCUUGAGGGGCUCCGGUCACGGCAACCUGUCAGUUUGCCGGCUGCAGUCCGGUUGAACCAGCGUCCAGGGCAUUCUACCGUCAAAAUAGCCUUUGCGCUGCUUUCGUACACCCACUCUAGCCAUGUCUUCCCCUAGACAUGUGAGGAGGAGCAAGCAGGAGGACAAGGAGCAGCACGCCUCUAUCAUCUACUUUUCACUUUACAAAAUCGAAAGUAGAAUACCGUGCAAAGUAAGAUCUAUCUUUUGAUGUUUCUAGUUUCCAGCAUUUCAGUGUUGAUUUUAUAUUGUGAAGUUACCAAUCCUUCUCCAUAUAUGUAGUUGUGGAGUUCUACAACCAGAAAUAUACAAGCUAUUAUGUAUUUGAUUCAUGCAUAAAUAUUCAGAGAUAGUUCACUACUUCAUUCAGGAGUUAGAUGUAUGAUAAUUACGUUUUAAUUUGGUGCCCGUCAUGCCACCUUUGGCUUUUAGGUGAAGCUGAACCAAAAGUACUUGAUUAGCAUGUUUCUUUCUAACUUUGUUCUUGUUUUUUUUGCCCUUUUCCUAUGCAUAACAAUUAUUUGUAAAUCUACAAAAAAAAUGUAGGGAGAAUCCUACAGGUUAGGUCCAAGGAAAAACCAUGUGUAUUAAUGUUCUUAUCAGUUAUCAUUAGUCCCCAACUUGCAUAUUCUACUGACAUUUAAAAUUCUUGCAUAACUGUGGAGCUUAGGGAUGUUAAUAUGUAGACUCUCUCUUUUUCUCCUUUCCUUUUUUCGAGGUCAGUUUGGAGGAUAAGUGAUUACAUCUCAAGGAUUGCAAGAACACUCACCCAGGAAGCUAUCUUAUUUUCACCUUUUAAUGUGGAGUUGUACUCACAUUAAAACUUCUUGCAAGAUCUGUGCUUUGUUCUGUCUCCGGAAAUGCAUUAACUGAUGCAACUUCCUAAUUGUUGGAAGAUCAAGAAAUACAUAUCUGAGGUGAUCUUAGCAAGCUCUUGAAAAGUAAAAGAAAAACAAACUUAUUCAUAUUCAAAUGUUUAACAGGAAUUUAAAGUUUGCAUUGUGGCUGAUUUGGUAUGUAGUUUUUCUAUGCAUCUCAAUGUGAACUGUUUAUGCCCUAAACCUCAACC
rnacentral:rRNA from 1 species